rnacentral:rRNA from 1 species
GUAGUCCUGGCUGUAAACGAUGUCGACUUGGAGGUUGUGCCCUUGAGGCGUGGCUUCCGGAGCUAACGCGUUAAGUCGACCGCCUGGGGAGUACGGCCGCAAGGUUAAAACUCAAAUGAAUUGACGGGGGCCCGCACAAGCGGUGGAGCAUGUGGUUUAAUUCGAUGCAACGCGAAGAACCUUACCUGGUCUUGACAUCCACGGAAGUUUUCAGAGAUGAGAAUGUGCCUUCGGGAACCGUGAGACAGGUGCUGCAUGGCUGUCGUCAGCUCGUGUUGCGAAAUGUUGGGUUAAGUCCCGCAACGAGCGCAACCCUUAUCCUUUGUUGCCAGCGGUCCGGCCGGGAACUCAAAGGAGACUGCCAGUGAUAAACUGGAGGAAGGUGGGGAUGACGUCAAGUCAUCAUGGCCCUUACGACCAGGGCUACACACGUGCUACAAUGGCGCAUACAAAGAGAAGCGACCUCGCGAGAGCAAGCAGACCUCAUAAAGUGCGUCGUAGUCCGGAUUGGAGUCUGCAACUCGACUCCAUGAAGUCGGAAUCGCUAGUAAUCGUGGAUCAGAAUGCCACGGUGAAUACGCUCCCGGGCCUUGUACACACCGCCCGUCACACCAUGGGAGUGGGUUGCAAAAGAAGUAGGUAGCUUAACCUUCGGGAGGGCGCUUACCACUUUGUGAUUCAUGACUGGGGUGAAGUCGUAACAAGGUAACCGUAGGGGAACCUGCGGCUGGAUCACCUCC